rnacentral:rRNA from 1 species
AUUGAACGCUGGCGGCAGGCCUAACACAUGCAAGUCGAACGAGUGGCGGACGGGUGAGUAAUGUCUGGGAAACUGCCCGAUGGAGGGGGAUAACUACUGGAAACGGUAGCUAAUACAGCAUACCAUCGGAUGUGCCCAGAUGGGAUUGGCUAGUAGGUGGGGUAACGGCUCACCUAGGCGACGAUCCCUAGCUGGGCUGAGAGGAUGACCAGCCACACUGGAACUGAGACACGGUCCAGGCUCCGACGGGAGGCAGAAGUGGGGAAUAUUGCACAAUGGGCGCAAGCCUGAUGCAGCCAUGCCGCGUGUAUGAAGAAGGCCUUCGGGUUGUAAAGUACUUUCAGCGAGGAGGCGUUACUCGCAGAAGAAGCACCGGCUAACUCCGUGCCAGCCGCCGCGGUAAUAC